rnacentral:misc_RNA from 1 species
UUGAGAAGAUAAACUGGGCCUAACGGCUGUCCGUCUUGAAAACCCUUGCCUUUUUUUGAAGCGUCGUUCGCGAUCCCUCGGCAGCUCCGCCUGCCGGACGGGCUCUCAAAAAACCCUUUGCAAUCAGUAUAAACAAUCUGAACAAACCACAAUCGUUA